rnacentral:rRNA from 1 species
AACGAACGCUGGCGGCAGGCUUAACACAUGCAAGUCGAGCGCCCCGCAAGGGGAGCGGCAGACGGGUGAGUAACGCGUGGGAAUCUACCCAUCUCUACGGAAUAACGCAUGGAAACGUGUGCUAAUACCGUAAACGUCCUUCGGGAGAAAGAUUUAUCGGAGAUGGAUGAGCCCGCGUUGGAUUAGCUAGUUGGUGGGGUAAAGGCCUACCAAGGCGACGAUCCAUAGCUGGUCUGAGAGGAUGAUCAGCCACACUGGGACUGAGACACGGCCCAAACUCCUACGGGAGGCAGCGGUGGGGAAUAUUGGACAAUGGGCGCAAGCCUGAUCCAGCCAUGCCGCGUGAGUGAUGAAGGCCCUAGGGUUGUAAAGCUCUUUCACCGGUGGAGAUAAUGACGGUAACCGGAGAAGAAGCCCCGGCUAACUUCGUGCCAGCCGCCGCAGUAAGAC